UUGGAGGGCAAGUCUGGUGCCAGCAGCCGCGGUAAUUCCAGCUCCAAUAGCGUAUAUUAAAGUUGUUGCAGUUAAAAAGCUCGUAGUUGAAUUUCGGGAUCAAUACGUCGGUCGUGCCUUCGGUACGCACUGGCGUCGUUGAUUUCUCCCUUCUGAUGAACCAUGAUGUCAUUAAUUUGGUGUUGUGGGGAGUCAGGACUGUUACUUUGAAAAAAUUAGAGUGUUUAAAGCAGGCAAACGCUUGAAUACAUUAGCAUGGAAUAAUGAAAUAGGACGUUCGAACCUAUUUUGUUGGUUUCUAGGUACAACGUAAUGAUUAAUAGGGAUAGUUGGG
rnacentral:misc_RNA from 1 species